UAUAAUCGGGUUGUCUUUUGUUGCCCCCGAAUUGGUCUCAAAAUAGUGGUAAAAAAGGGGUUAGACCGAUUUUUUUUCUGUUAUUGUUCUCUGACAAAUUACCCUUUUAAAAUAUUCAUCUCCGACUCUUAUUGCUUUUAACCUGGUUUUGCUGUCAUAAAAUACUAUCACCAACAAAUACCUAUAUAAUAAACACUAUUAGAAACCGAUUACUUGUAGAUUCUAGCCGUUGAAAAUGAAUAAAGUUAUUCUGAGCCUCGUACUACUCUCAAUUUUGGCUAGCAGCAUCAGUGCGGGUCGUGUUUCGAAACAGUGGCUGAUUGACAACAAAGACAACUUGCACAAAUUCACCCGGGUUUGUACGGGAAGCGAAGCGGUUCCGCGAUGAAAACUACUAGACGGGAACAGGAACAGCUCGAGUCUAAUUCAAUAGGUGGACCGCAGCAAGGAUUUGCAGAGAAACACUUUUUCGUAGCACCGAUUCCCGAGUUGAAAAAGAAAUCAUCGGCCAUGUAUUUCCGAAAAUAAAACUAGCACUAAAAUGAAAUUGCAAAGAAAACUCAAAUAUCCAGUAUCAAAAUUAAA